rnacentral:lncRNA from 1 species
UCCGCUGCUCGCGCCUCCCGCCCCGCCCGCGCGCGCCCGCCCCGGGAGGAGGGUGCGCGGCGGAGGCGCGGGGGGGGGGGGGGGGGGGGGGGAGUCGAGGAGGGGCCGCGCCCGGUCCUCGCCCGCAGCGGGCACCGCCGGGGGCCCCGGGAGGCCUUGUUGGUAUUCCGGGCACAGCAGAAGCCCUGACCUCCCCGCGGAACAGGGGAGCCCGGGAGCGCGGCGCGGCCGCCGCCCCCGGGCGGUCUCCCCGGACUGCGGGGCCGUAGGCGCCUUGCUCCCCCUCCUCCCUGUCCCCUCCUCUCCAGGUCCCCCGUACCCCCUCCCCCGGCCUGAUCCGGCGGCGAAGGGGUGGGCAGGGAAACGCGCUCUCUGGGACAGGUGCCAACUCCGAGACAAAAGACAUAAAAUAGGCGGCAACGGGGGAAGCGCGGCCGGCGCGCUCGGGCGGGGACGGAGGCGCCGCGGGGGCCGCAUCCUCGGUGCCGACCGGGGAAAGUUUGGGAAGUCGCCGCGGCGGCUUCGCAGCGGCGGGGGACACGCGGGCCGGGCCGCCCUCCGCGCCGCGCUCGCCCUCUCCGCGCCGCUGCUGAAUAAUUCAUGGCGCGGCCGCCGGCCAUUAGCAUGCACCGGGCGCGCGGCGCGUCUGUGCCCAGCCGUCGCCGCCGCAUUCGGCGCCCCGGCCGCGCUAGACGAGCGGCCGCGCAGAGGCCGGGCCCGCGCCGUCCCCGCGCUCGCCCGCCCGUCCGCCCGUCCGCCCACCCGGCGGCUCCCAUUGUGCCCCAGGCCCGCGCCGCUCCGCCGUCCUGUGACCGCCUGCGCCCCGCAGCGCGCCCGACGGCCGGCCGCUGGAAGUUCGGGCCCGCGGCGCACGCCCUGCCGCCCCGGGAUGCACGUGAACUUGGAGAAAGUCUCGGGGCGCGCCGGCGCAGACCUCCGCGGCAGGGCGUGGGCGCCCCUGGCCCCGCGCGCUUUCGUUUUCGUCUGGGACAAAGGUCCCUCGCGGCGCAGGUCGCGGACGUGGAGGCAGUGCCCUGCGGGCCACUCAGCGGGGAGGUCCGGUCGUUCAGUCAAGGGAAGCCGGAGCCUGGAGAAGACGAGCCGCGCGGUCGGAGGCGCGGUGCGGGACCAGGACAGUGGGGCCUGGCCGUGCGCUUCGCCCUGGCGGUCCAGGAGCUGUCUCGCCCUCCGAAGAGUUACGGGAGGUGGCACUGCUUUUGCUCUCUGCCCUUUCGACACGUGAAGGAGAGAAUCAUUCGGAACCCAGGACUCAGACCGGUGGCCGAGGGCCUGUGCAGCCGCGAGCACGACAGCGCAGCGCUGGCCGCGUCCGCGCGCGUUCCUCCGACAAGGGCAGAGCAGUCGACCAGCGCGCCCCAGUCUCGAUCGGGUUCAAGGCGACUCUUGAGGACGGUGGCUGACACACGGGCCCAGCCGGCAGCCCUGGGGAAUUUGUGGGGAGCAAGAAAGGGGUGA